rnacentral:rRNA from 1 species
CAGGUCUUGACAUCCCACUGACCGGCUUAGAGAUAGGCUUUUCCCUUCGGGGACAGUGGUGACAGGUGGUGCAUGGUUGUCGUCAGCUCGUGUCGUGAGAUAUUGGGUUAAGUCCCACAACGAGCGCAACCCUUGAUCUUAGUUGCCAGCAUUCAGUUGGGCACUCUAAGGUGACUGCCGGUGAUAAACCGGAGGAAGGUGGGGAUGACGUCAAAUCAUCAUGCCCCUUAUGACCUGGGCUACACACGUGCUACAAUGGACGAUACAAAGGGCUGCAAACCCGCGAGGGGGAGCCAAUCCCAUAAAAUCGUUCUCAGUUCGGAUUGUAGGCUGCAACUCGCCUACAUGAAGCCGGAAUCGCUAGUAAUCGUGGAUCAGCAUGCCACGGUGAAUACGUUCCC